AAGUCGUAACAAGGUUUUCCUUCCGGUUAAAAGCUGUAACCCGCUGAAGCCUGACAUGGCGACUAUAAAAAUAAUCAUGGAGUCUUACCGACGAGGGAGGACAAUACCGCUGAAUUGCUGUGAUCAACGAAUUGUUGUACCAGCAGCCCGUAACCGGGCCCACAGAUCAAGCCGCGGUGGUUCUACUUAGAAUAACUAGGCAGAACUUCAAUAUGACCGGUCUCGCCUGUUAAGGGCAGAGAGUGUAUGUUCCGUAGGUGAACCUGCGGAAGGAUCAUUACCGAGUUAGGGUCUGCCAGG
rnacentral:misc_RNA from 1 species